rnacentral:rRNA from 1 species
GACGAACGCUGGCGGCGCGCCUAACACAUGCAAGUCGAACGGAGUUAUUUUGGUUGAAGUUUUCGGAUGGAUACCGAUUUAACUUAGUGGCGAACGGGUGAGUAACGCGUGAGUAACCUGCCCUGGAGUGGGGGACAACAGUUGGAAACGACUGCUAAUACCGCAUAAGCCCACGGCCCGGCAUCGGGCAGCGGGAAAAGGAUUUAUUCGCUUCAGGAUGGACUCGCGUCCAAUUAGCUAGUUGGUGAGGUAACGGCCCACCAAGGCGACGAUUGGCAGCCGGACUGAGAGGUUGAACGGCCACAUUGGGACUGAGACACGGCCCAGACUCCUACGGGAGGCAGCAGCGGGGGAUAUUGCACAAUGGGGGAAACCCUGAUGCAGCGACGCCGCGUGGAGGAAGAAGGUUUUCGGAUUGUAAACUCCUGUCGUUAGGGACGAAUUCUGACGGUACCUAACAAGAAAGCACCGGCUAACUACGUGCCAGCAGCCGCGGUAAAACGUAGGGUGCAAGCGUUGUCCGGAAUUACUGGGUGUAAAGGGAGCGCAGGCGGACCGGCAAGUUGGAAGUGAAAUCUAUGGGCUCAACCCAUAAAUUGCUUUCAAAACUGCUGGCCUUGAGUAGUGCAGAGGUAGGUGGAAUUCCCGGUGUAGCGGUGGAAUGCGUAGAUAUCGGGAGGAACGCCAGUGGCGAAGGCGACCUACUGGGCACCAACUGACRCUGAGGCUCGAAAGCAUGGGUAGCAAACAGAAUUAGAUACCCUGGUAGUCC